UAUGUGAUCGUCUCUCGCAUAUCAAUAAGCGGAGGAAAAGAAACUAACAAGGAUUCCCCUAGUAACGGCGAGUGAAGCGGGAAGAGCUCAAAUUUGAAAUCUUAAAGGGUUUCCCUUUACGAAUUGUAGUUUAAAGAAGUGUUUUCUGUUGAGGUUUUGGUAAAAGUUCUUUGGAAUAGGACAUCAUAGAGGGUGAGAAUCCCGUAUUUGACCUUUACUUUCAACUUUGUGAUACACUUUCAAAGAGUCGGAUUGUUUGGGAAUGCAGUCCAAAAUGGGUGGUAAAUUUCAUCUAAAGCUAAAUAUUGGCGAGAGACCGAUAGCGAACAAGUACCGUGAGGGAAAGAUGAAAAGAACUUUGAAAAGAGAGUUAAACAGUACGUGAAAUUGUCAAAAGGGAAGCGUUUGACACCAGUGUUGUUUUUCUGGAAAAUCAAUUAAAGAACUGUUUAUGCUAAGCUGUUUAGACUUUAUCAGCUAAUCUGUUUAGUUUUGAGCUUUUCUUUAAUGCACUUUUCAGUUAACAAGUCAACAUCAAUUUCUUUUGCUGUAAAAAAGCUUGAGGAAGGUGGCUUGAGAUUCGUCUUAAGUGUUUAUAGCCUCUUGCCUAUGCAGUCGGAGAGAUUGAGGUCUGCAGCGUAGAUCCUUCGGGGCUAAAUGCAUUUGUGCUAAGUUAUAGCAUUUUAUAGACAACUUGUUGACUAUGAUCUGUCUUGUAGCUUACUCGCUUAUGUUAUUUUACCUACGCUUAGGAUGUUGAUCUGUAGUGCGUGCGC
rnacentral:rRNA from 1 species